rnacentral:rRNA from 1 species
UAACUGAAGAGUUUGAUCAUGGCUCAGAUUGAACGCUGGCGGCAGGCUUAACACAUGCAAGUCGAGCGGGGGAAGGUAGC